rnacentral:rRNA from 1 species
UCCGAGCGUUGUCCGGAAUUAUUGGGCGUAAAGGGCUCGUAGGCGGUCUGUCGCGUCGGGAGUGAAAACUCAGGGCUCAACCCUGAGCGUGCUUCCGAUACGGGCAGACUAGAGGUAUGCAGGGGAGAACGGAAUUCCUGGUGUAGCGGUGGAAUGCGCAGAUAUCAGGAGGAACACCGGUGGCGAAGGCGGUUCUCUGGGCAUGACCUGACGCUGAGGAGCGAAAGCAUGGGGAGCGAACAGG